AAAUUGAAGAGUUUGAUCAUGGCUCAGAUUGAACGCUGGCGGCAGGCCUAACACAUGCAAGUCGAGCGGAAACGAGUUGUCUGAACCUUCGGGGAACGAUAACGGCGUCGAGCGGCGGACGGGUGAGUAAUGCCUAGGAAAUUGCCCUGAUGUGGGGGAUAACCAUUGGAAACGAUGGCUAAUACCGCAUGAUGCCUACGGGCCAAAGAGGGGGACCUUCGGGCCUCUCGCGUCAGGAUAUGCCUAGGUGGGAUUAGCUAGUUGGUGAGGUAAGGGCUCACCAAGGCGACGAUCCCUAGCUGGUCUGAGAGGAUGAUCAGCCACACUGGAACUGAGACACGGUCCAGACUCCUACGGGAGGCAGCAGUGGGGAAUAUUGCACAAUGGGCGCAAGCCUGAUGCAGCCAUGCCGCGUGUGUGAAGAAGGCCUUCGGGUUGUAAAGCACUUUCAGUCGUGAGGAAGGUAGUGUAGUUAAUAGCUGCAUU
rnacentral:rRNA from 1 species